ACGGCUGUAGUACAAUGGAUCAGUGCAUCUAGCUAUUAACCAGGAGGUUGGUGGUUCCAUCCCACCCAAGGAUGGCUGCG